AUGAACGCUGGCGGCAUGCCUAACACAUGCAAGUCGCUCGGUAAGGCUCUUCGGAGUACACGAGAGGCGGACGGCUGAGUAACGCGUAGGAACACACCCUGCAGUGAGGGAUAAGACACCGAAAGGUGUUCUAAUACCGCAUACGGUCUUCGGAUUAAAGCAUUUAUGCGCUGAAGGAGUGGCCUGCGUCAUAUUAGAUAGUUGGCGAGGUAAUGGCUCACCAAGUCGAUGAUGUGUAGCUGGUCUGAGAGGAUGAUCAGCCAGACUGGAACUGAGACACGGUCCAGACUCCUACGGGAGGCAGCAGUGAGGAAUAUUUCACAAUGAGCGAAAGCUUGAUGGAGCAAUGCCGCGUGCAGGAUGAAGGCCCUCGGGUUGUAAACUGCUUUUAUAAGAGAAGAUUAUGACGGUAACUUAUGAAUAAGGGACGGCUAACUACGUG
rnacentral:rRNA from 1 species